rnacentral:rRNA from 1 species
GGCGGCGUGCCUAAUCAUGCAAGUGGAACGCAGUCGAUUCACCGGAGCUUGCUCCACCGAAUGAACUGAGUCGCGAACGGGUGAGUAACGCGUAGGUAACCUACCUCAUAGCGGGGGAUAACUAUUGGAAACGAUAGCUAAUACCGCAUAACAGUGAUUGACACAUGUUAGUCAUUUGAAAGGAACAACUGUUUCACUAUGAGAUGGACCUGCGUUGUAUUAGCUAGUUGGUGAGGUAACGGCUCACCAAGGCAUCGAUACAUAGCCGACCUGAGAGGGUGAUCGGCCACACUGGGACUGAGACACGGCCCAGACUCCUACGGGAGGCAGCAGUAGGGAAUCUUCGGCAAUGGGGGGAACCCUGACCGAGCAACGCCGCGUGAGUGAAGAAGGUUUUCGGAUCGUAAAGCUCUGUUGUAAGAGAAGAACGAUGGUGUGAGUGGAAAGUACACCAAGUGACGGUAACUUACCAGAAAGGGACGGCUAACUACGUGCCAGCAGCCGCGGUAAU